GACGAACGCUGGCGGCGUGCUUAACACAUGCAAGUCGAACGGAAAGGCCCCUUUGGGGGUACUCGAGUGGCGAACGGGUGAGUAACACGUGAGUAACCUGCCCUUGACUUCGGGAUAACUUCAGGAAACUGGGGCUAAUACCGGAUAGGAAUCCUUGCUGCAUGGUGGGGGUUGGAAAGCUUCGGCGGUUUUGGAUGGACUCGCGGCUUAUCAGCUUGUUGGUGGGGUAGUGGCUUACCAAGGCUUUGACGGGUAGCCGGCCUGAGAGGGCGACCGGCCACAUUGGGACUGAGAUACGGCCCAGACUCCUACGGGAGGCAGCAGUGGGGAAGAUUGCACAAUGGGCGGAAGCCUGAUGCAGCAACGCCGCGUGCGGGAUGACGGCCUUCGGGUUGAAAACCGCUUUCAGCAGGGGCGAAGCUUGUGGUGACGGUACCUGCAGAAGAAGCACCGGCUAACUACGUG
rnacentral:rRNA from 1 species